GAGGUUGUGGCUCAGAGGUAGAGUGUUUGCCUAGCAUGCAUGAGGCACUGGGUUCGAUCCUCAGCACUACA
rnacentral:tRNA from 1 species